AUAAGAAUUUUAAAACAGAGCCUAAAAUAAACAGGCAGCCAGUGAAGUGAAGCCAAGACAGGGGUCACAUGCUCUCUCUUUCGACAAAGAUGUUGUAUAGACGAAGAAAACCUUUUCAAAGAGACAGAAGUUCUCAGGCAUGCCGGGAUCCUGGAUGGGAUAGGCUGUCACUGGAGAAACAAGAGCCAUACUAGGGCCUACCAGAAACCUCUUCCAGUGAGAACAGGAGCAGCAGCUUCUGGAUCAGCUGCAGCUGGAGGAUUGAUUUGUUGGACAGGCCUGUGAAGACGCUGUUGCAAUAAUCAAUGUGACUAAAGAUAAACGCGUGGAUGAGUUUCUCUAGA